UCCCGGUCCCCGCGCCGAGCCUGCGCGCCCCGCCCCGCGUGCCCCUGCGGCCGCCCCGGGCCCCUCCGCCCGCGCCGCUGCCGCCGGCCUCCCCCUCCCCGCACGCUCACCUAGCCCGCGGUCCCGGGAAGUUCCCGGCCGCUCCCGGCGCCCCGGCUCCGCUGCCUGGCCGCGGCUGCGCAGGGGUGCCCGGCGGGGCGCUUCCCGGCUGCGCGCCGAGCCCGGCUCCCGGCAGAGAGUGGCCGCAGACUCGCGCGGCGCGGCGGCCUGAAAGGCAAGCCAGCCCCCGCCGCUGCCUCCAGCCAGCCCCGGUCCUCCGGGGGUCACCUGCACAGGCUCCGCCUGGCACGGCGCGUGGCACCCGCGGGCCGCAAGGAUGCUGGAGAGAGGACGAGCCGUGAGUGCGGGGAAGGGGUCCCGGAGCCUGGCCCCGCGGAAAAAAAGGCGAAAAGUGGGAAGUUGCAUUCAGCGUGUGUUUUGCACGAAUGGUUGUAGAGGCAGCAAGAUGGGCCCGGCCAACUUCUUUCCUGGAACCACUCAGCAUCUCAGCAUCUCCACAUCUCAGCACCUCCGAAUCUCAGCAUCCAGCUCGAGCUGUGAACCACAUCUGUGGUGCAUCUGUGCUUUAUCUGGUUUAUUUCAUGGACCUAAGAGGAAACCGAAAGGUCACAGAUGGAGGGAGCACACCGUCCCGGGUGACACAGACACAUCCAGUGACCUGAAGUAACUUGGGCAAUGCAGUAACUCGGAAGCCGUUUCCACACCUGGAAACGAAAAUAAUCAUCCGCAGAGCUGUUCAGUCUGAUCACUGGUUCCAUGAGACUUAGACUGGAAAAGUCAACUGACCAUACAAAAAGUCAUUUGCACUGGGGGAAGGGACCCGUGCCUUUUGGAUAGUCACUAGAAAUCGCCUCAGUUGUAUGUAUAUUAUCAUAGAUCCUUUAGGACUAAUGACCGUAUCGGGGCUAAGGCUUGCAGUUUGGAAUUGGCAAAUCCCUCAGUUAGGGUUUUGUGUCCACUAUCAAUAGAGAAACAUUUUGUCAGAAGUGCCUACCCCAACUGUGCAUCUAGUAAUUGUUCAGUACUUUUAUAAUACUAUAAAUAAUAACAAUUAUUACUCUUACUAGGCUGUGAUUAGGAGCUGGGAGUGUGCCCAUUCUAGAGAUAAGAAAAUCCAGGUGUCGGGGGAGAGGAUGGUGCAAGACUGCCUGUCACAAAGGAGCCUCCUGACCCCAAGCCCACGCCUUCAGCCCCUGUUUUCAGGUGCCAGCAGUCUGCCAGGGUCUGUUCCAGAUCUGCAGAUACAGACAUCAGUGACAGAGCAGGUGUUUCUGUUUGGUUUGGUUUGGUCUCCUGUUUAAGACCAAAUAUCAGAACCUGUAACACCCAGACCAUAUCUGACAAUAAAAUUCUGCCCUAUGAUCUGCAGUAGCCAGCAGACCAGAAAAGCCAAAUCACAGCGUCUAUACAGUCAGACCCCAAUAAGUGCCAGCUUCUCAAAUCUUUGCCCCGUUUCCACCCUCACACCAUUCCUGGAAAGCCACGUCUGCUCCCUACCCAGCCACAUAGGGUUCCCCACUUCUAGUCAGCCUGAGGCUCUCUUCUAAAAUUCAUGUGCUGAACCCUAACCCCUGAUACCUGAGGAUGUGCUGUAUUUUGAGCUAGAGCCUUUCAAGAGAUUAUUAAGUUAAAAUGAGGUCAUUGGGGUGGGUAUUAAUGUAGUGUGACUGCUGUCCUUAUACAAAGAGGAGCUCAGGACACAGAGAGACAUCAGGGACCCUCUCACAGACAAGAGACCACGUGGGUCAGACAGGGCCAGAAGCUGGCCCUGUGCCAGACAAGGAGAGGUGCCUGGGAAGGAAGGGGCUGGGCCGACACCCUGAUCUUGGACUUCUAGCGCCCGGAAUGUGGGAAGUAACUACCCACCUUGAAGUCUUUCCUUAUGGCAACCCUUGCAAAGUAAAACACCUAUAUAAGCUUCCCCGGGCCACAGCCUCUAAUCAAGACAUGCCCAGAAGCGUCCCUUCUUUUCUCCAUCAACCUUUCCUACUCCUUUAUCUGCCUUUGAGUCCCUGUCAAAAUAUAGUGAUGGUAUCCAACUCCUCCACUCUCGCAGGCCCUGAAUACCCAGCCUUUACUGCUUCUCAUUUUUUGUAGGGAGGUGGGGGGGCAUCUUCAUUUGCACACAGGGAAAUAGGGGACCCAUCAGAAAGUUGCUAGAAGGGCACAUAAUUCCAUCCUGAAUCCUUAGGAGGAUUUGGAGAUGGACUGAAAAUGAGUCAAGACAUUUUCCUUUUAAAAAUGGUCCCACGAUGCAGUGGAAACAAAUCUGACUGGUAUCCAUGAGGACGCAGGUUCGAUUCCUGGCCUCCUCAGU
rnacentral:lncRNA from 1 species